UAGUAUGAUGAUUCAUAUCAAAUUCAAUACAUUCAAUUAUAAAUCACUUAAUAUUUUGAAAAAAGUAUAUAUUCGAUAAUUCAAAAUACAUGCAUCAGAUUCAUAAAUUCUGAAUAAUCUAAUAUAAAAAAUAUUUUAUAAUUUAUCGAUAAAUCUUAAAAAAGUACAGCACUACUUACCUCAUAUAUACUCUAACAAACCCACAUAAUUUCAUAUAUUUCUUUUUAGAAUCUUCAAUUCAUAAAUCAUAUCACAAUUAGGGGUGGCAAUC
rnacentral:lncRNA from 1 species